rnacentral:rRNA from 1 species
AUUGUUGCACAGCUCAGAUUGAACGCUGGCGGGAUGCUUUACACAUGCAAGUCGAACAGCCUUUGAACUUCAGUCUGGUGGCGAGUGGCGAACGGGUGAUGUAUCGGAACGUGCUAGUAGCGGGGGAUAACUACGCGAAAGCGUAGCUAAUACCGCAUACGCCCUUCGGGGAAAGCAGAAAACGGGGACCUUCGGGCCUCGCACUAUUAGAGCGGCCGAUAUCGGAUGGCUAGUUGGUGGGGUAACGGCUCACCAGAGCGACGAUCCGUAGCUGGUUUGAGAGGACGACCAGCCACACUGGGACUGAGACACGGCCUAGACUCCUACGGGAGGCAGCAGUGGGGAAUUUUGGACAAUGGGGAAACCCUGAUCCAGCCAUCCCGCGUGUGCGAUGAAGGCCUUCGGGUUGUAAAGCACUUUUGGCAGGAAAGAAACGGCACGGGAUAAUACCCCGUGCAACUGACAGUACCUGCAGAAUAAGCACCGGCUAACUACGUGCCAGCAGCCGCGGUAAUACGUAGGGUGCAAGCGUUAAUCGGAAUUACUGGGCGUAAAGCGUGCGCAGGCGGUUCGGAAAAGAUUAAGCGAAAUCAGGCUUAACUUUGGAACUGCAUUUUUUUAACUACCGAGCUAGAGUGUCAGAGGAGGUGGAAUUCCGCGUGUAGCAGUGAAAUGCGUAGAUAUGGAGGAACACCGAUGGCGAAGGCAGCCUCCUGGGAUAACACUGACGCUCAUGCACGAAAGCGUGGGGAGCAAACAGGAUUAGAUACCCUGGUAGUCCACGCCCUAAACGAUGUCAACUAGCUGUUGGGGCCUUCGGGCCUUGGUAGCGCAGCUAACGCGUGAAGUUGACCGCCUGGGAGUACGGUCGCAAGACAAGAAACUCAAAGGAAUUGACGGGGACCCGCACAAGCGGUGGAUGAUGUGGAUUAAUUCGAUGCACUUGCAGAAAACCAACACUACCCUUGACUGUCUGGAAUCCCGAAGAGAUUUGGGAGUGCUCGCAAAGAGAACCGGAACACAGGUGCUGCAUGGCUGUCGUCAGCUCGUGUCGUGAGAUGUUGGGUUAAGUCACAACGAGAGCGCAACCCUUGUCAUUAGUUGCUGAAGGGCACUCUAAUGAGACUGCCGGUGACAAACCGGAGGAAGGUGGGGAUGACGUCAAGUCCUCAUGGCCCUUAUGGGUAGGGCUUCACACGUCAUACAAUGGUCGGGACAGAGGGUCGCCAACCCGCGAGGAGCCAAUCCCAGAAGCCGAUCGUAGUCCGGAUCGCAGUCUGCAACUCGACUGCGUGAAGUCAGAAUCAUGGUAAUCGCGGAUCAGCAUGUCGCGGUGAGCCGUUCCCGGGUGCCAGCACACACCGCCCGUCACACCAUGGGAGUGGGUUUUACCAAGUAGUUAGCCUAACCGUAAGGAAGGCGAUUACCACGGUAGGAUUCAUGACUGGGGUGAAGUCGUAACAAGGUAA